rnacentral:tRNA from 1 species
CAAUAAGAAGCUGCACGAGCAAUCAGUUUCGACCUGAUUUAAUGGUAAAACUACCCUUAUUGA